AUGCUCGCUUUGGGAGCACACAGAUUAAAAUGGGAGCAAUACAGAGAAGGUCCACAUGGCCUGCAGCCAAGGGUGACACCAAAUCCAUGAACUACUCCCUAUGUUU
rnacentral:snRNA from 1 species